rnacentral:snoRNA from 1 species
AAGACUGUAUUUUCAGGUAUUAUUUCUGUAGUUCGUUACAAGCGAAGUUUCUCUUAUCUUGUAGAGCACCUGAAACCCCAGGGAGGAGCCAGAGCAUCAUCUCCUGAGUGUGGAGCCAUUUCUAGGUAUUGCUUUUGCAACUGUGUUUCAUCAUUAAUGAUCAUUCUUCUAUUCCCUUGGAAGAGUGAGAGGGAGAGGAUAUAGUCUGAGUGC